AACGAACGCUGGCGGCAUGCCUAACACAUGCAAGUCGAACGAGACCUUCGGGUCUAGUGGCGCACGGGUGCGUAACGCGUGGGAACCUGCCUUUAGGUUCGGAAUAACUCAGAGAAAUUUGAGCUAAUACCGGAUGAUGUCUUCGGACCAAAGAUUUAUCGCCUUUAGAUGGGCCCGCGUUGGAUUAGCUAGUUGGUGGGGUAAAGGCCUACCAAGGCGACGAUCCAUAGCUGGUCUGAGAGGAUGAUCAGCCACACUGGGACUGAGACACGGCCCAGACUCCUACGGGAGGCAGCAGUGGGGAAUAUUGUACCAUGGGCUAAAGCCUGAUCCAGCCAUGCCGCGUGAGUGAUGAAGGCCUUAGGGUUGUAAAGCUCUUUUACCCGAGAUGAUAAUGACAGUAUCGGGAGAAUAAGCUCCGGCUAACUCCGUG
rnacentral:rRNA from 1 species